CCUCGUCAUUAUGGUCCCCGGUAUUCAUAACGCUCGGUAUACAAUUUGACUUCAAUCGCGAUGGAGUACCGUAACUAGUUCGGCAAAAACAGUGAAAAAUAAAAAUGAUAAUCUACUGUUUCAAAACUGUGGAUUAUCACUUUUAUUUCACUGAGAAAACUCCAUAAUUCACUGGAAAACCUAAAAUAAUAAUGUCAACAUCAAAACUAAACUGAAAUUAUAAGAAAAAAGGAUACACAAUUCAUGAAUGUUUUGAACCAGGGCUAUGGACCUUCUUUAACAUGAUGAUGAUGACGAUGCGGAACAACUUAUUUAAGUUUUAAUCAAAUUCAUUAAGUAUUACUAAAGAUAAAGUGAAAAUACACAAAAAUUCAUCUAAAAUUUUGAGUAAAGAACGGGAAUAAUUCAUGAAAGAUAGAUGCAAGAGUUAUGGCCUUUGUGUCAUGUGAUUAAGUCUGAAUCGAAUCCAUUUAGUAAUAAAUGAGAUACUGUGAAAAUUCAUCAAACUUUAACCUGAAAUUCUUAGUAAAAAGUGGGGAUGAUUCAUGAAUUCUUGGAUUGAGAAUUAUUGCCCUUGUGCCAUAUGAAGUGGGUGUUGAUGAGGAAUAACUACUUUUAGUUUGGAGCAGAUCAAUCAAGCAAUUACAGAGAUAAAGAUAAAGUGCAUCAAAACUUUAACCAAAGUUUGGACGUUGAACGGAAGCCGACGCGGACGCCAACGUCAAGCCGUGUAGGAUAGCUCUCCAUAUACUUCGUACAGUCGAGUUAAUUAGCUGCAUAAUGGAUAUGCUCGAGUACAAAUUAGCUUCUCUUGUAAUACUCACGAUGAUAUACAACGUACACUGCCAAUGCACAUGUACAACGACUCCAAGAACACAUGAGUACGUAAGUUUGAACAGAGGUCGCGUGAUGCCAAGAAUACUACAUUAUAGUGUAUGUGUUGCUGUCGUAGAGCCUGUUGUCAUGGAAACAGAAUAUGACGUUAGCUCAGAUGAAACAGUCGACCCUUGCUGCUGUAGAGCGUACUGGAGGCACGUUCCAUCAUUAGGAAGAGGAAAUGUUGUAUAUGUUAAGACGGUGUAUUUCUGUGAAACUGUGGACUGCUCUGAUCUCCGCUGAAGCUUGAAGUUGAUAAUUAUAAAACAAACGAUCAAAUAGUGCAUGAUACACACUGUGCAAUAUAGUAUUUAUUUUGUCGCAUGUUUCCACAUCUUUAGGAAGAGGAAACGUUGUAUAUGUUAAGACGGUGUAUUUCUGUGAAACUGUGGACUGCUCUGAUCUCCACUGAAGCUUGAAGUUGAUCAAAUAGUGCAUGAUACACACUGUGCAAUAUAGUAUUUAUUUUGUCGGAUGCUUCCACAUUUAUUCACUAAUUUCAAAACAAUACUAUAAGUAAAAUGAUAAAAUUCUGUAACAUGAUUAUAUAAAAAGUUGUUGUUAGUUCUGCUAUGUGCUGAUUUAUAUUGCUUUGAAGAAUCAUUCUAACAGUAUUGUCAUACCUUCUUAAAUGUUUGAUACUUUUGUAAAUGCCAAGGAUAACAUGCAAUUUAUU